rnacentral:rRNA from 1 species
UACGUAGGGACCAAGCGUUGUUCGGAUUUACUGGGCGUAAAGGGCGCGUAGGCGGCGUGGUAAGUCACUUGUGAAAUCUCUGAGCUUAACUCAGAACGGCCAAGUGAUACUGCUGUGCUAGAGUGCAGAAGGGGCAAUCGGAAUCCUUGGUGUAGCGGUGAAAUGCGUAGAUAUCAAGAGGAACACCUGAGGUGAAGACGGGUUGCUGGGCUGACACUGACGCUGAGGCGCGAAAGCCAGGGGAGCAAACGGG